UGGGAUAUAGCUCAGUUGGUAGAGUGUCUGACAUUCAGGAGGGCCUGAGUUCAAUCCCCAAUACCACAA
rnacentral:tRNA from 1 species